rnacentral:rRNA from 1 species
UACGUAGGCAGCGAGCGUUGUUCGGAGUUACUGGGCGUAAAGAGUGCGUAGGCGGUUUUCUAAGUUUGGUGUGAAAUCUCCCGGCUCAACUGGGAGGGUGCGCCGAAGACUGGAAGGCUUGAGUAUGGGAGAGGUAAGCGGAAUUCCUGGUGUAGCGGUGAAAUGCGCAGAUAUCAGGAGGAACACCGGUGGCGAAGGCGGGUCUCUGGGCCGAUACUGACGCUGAGGAGCGAAAGCGUGGGGAGCGAACAGG